UUGAAUCAGAAUUCUCAUUUGAUAUUUGCCUUGGAGUUGAAGCAGGGGAAUUGGCUGGGGCAUUGUGUGAUUGGGGUGGUUCAGAGAUAGAUACUGGUGGAUCUACAGGAGGUUGUAAAGCUGGAGCCGGUGCUAAUUCAGGUGAAGGUGAAGGUAAAGGUGAAGGUGCAGGAGUCAAAAAGAUACUGGAGGGGGAUUCUGAAGGAGACAACGAUGAAGGUGAAGGUGACAUUGAAGGUGAAAAUGAGGAUUCUGAUGGCGAAGGUGAUGGUGACAGUUGGGAAACUCUUUCAUUGGCUGUCUUAGAGGGUACAAACACCUGCUGCAGCCGCCUCCCAUAAGCUAUAUCUCCUGGCUGGGCAAUAUUCCUAACAAUGAGAAGACACCAUGAAGCAAGUAGUUAAUACUCUAUAUAACAAACUUUACUGCAUAAACCAAAAACUUCCUCAGUAUAGAAGGAUGUGAGAGCUUGCUACAACUUCUCAAUUGGAACCACUAAAGUUAUAUAGUAAGUAACAUAGGGAGACACAUCCUAUAAGCCUCAGAACUCUGGGCUUCUUUCUCUGCAUAUGGUUCCUUGAGCUUUCUGCUCAGCCUUUUUCUUUCUUUUUUGGCCCAUGGCUGACAGAAUGAGGCAAGUCUAG
rnacentral:lncRNA from 1 species